UUUCUAAGAAUUCAUUUUUCAUGAUUGCUUGAAGCAAUGUAAAAAACACAUUUCACUGGCUCUGAAAAAA